AAAAAGCGCGCCUCAAGGCGCGCCUGAGGCGCAAAAAGCGAUUUUCUGGCCUGAAAAUGAGUGUGUUUCAGGGGCUAGGCGACGACGCUGGUGAGGCGUUCUCCAAGGCGCGAAAGGCGUGAAAGGCGUCCUCCAAGGCGUGAAAGGCGUACGCGCAGAAAAAAUGCGAAGUGACGUCGUUUUGAAACAGAAUGGGUUUAAAGGCUUCUAGGUCGCGACUGCUACCCCAAAUUCGAUUUCAGCCCUCUGCCCCUCUCUGUUCCAAAAGGUAGCGAUUCGAUCCCUAACCCAGAGUUCGAGUUAGGAGUUCGAUUUCAGCCCGAUUUCAGCCCUCUGCCCCUCUCUGCGCAGCAGUCAAUUUGAGCUUGAUUGGAGGUCGAUUCGCAACAGGCUAUUUGAAGGUAUUGGAGUUGGAUACUUGGAUUCGCAACAUGCCAUUUGAACUUCUGAAGAUUUUGUGAUCCCAUUGGAAAAUGAGGGAGAAGGGGUUUGAUUAUACUGUGGUGUUAAUGUCAGAGAUUAGUAUGCUGCGGAUGGAGGGGAGUGGAAUUCCUCUUAUGUCAACAAGCUGACACGCCCUGUUCGCAGGGAUUCCGCAUUGGCAACUGCCAACAUUGAAUAGGUUAGCUUUCCUUCUUGACUUUUUGUACUAGAUAGUUAGUCUUGUUUUCAAUCUCCAUUGGUCAAUUCCCUGUUACAGAUUUACAUGCAUCUUGUUUGAAGUUGCUGAAGUUUACUGCACUGUAAUGUGUUUAUUGUUUUACAUAGACUCUAAUGUGUAUUGUUUUACCUCGAAUUGAUCACAUUGAGCUUUGUUUUUGAAUUUAUGUUUACUGCAUUACAACAGUAAUACUAGGGAAGCAACAGGCUUUUCCUUGAGUUAGUCUUUAGUUUUUGCACGUCUGGAUAGAUUUUGUUAAUGCAAGUCUGGCAGGAAGGCCUUAACCCUCUAUUCAGUUGAUAAAAGGAAGGAAUUAGGAUCACACACUUAUCUAGUUUACAUUUCUUUAUCAACAUUAGGCUUGUAGAGCUAUCUAAACUUGUAGAAAUAAGAAAUGCGGCAAUUCAUUGUUCCAUGAGUUAGCCUGAAAGAAAGUUACUAGUAGUUUUAAGAUUUGAGAAACUGCUAAUUGGUCUGGGGGUGUAUUCAGGAUACUGCCACCAUAAAAUAGGUAUGAUUUGCUUCUUGGAGAGAAAGUUAGUUUUGUAUUCUAUCUCUGUUGGUUCCCGCUUUAAGUUAGAAACUCGCACAUCAAUUUGAAGUUGUUAAAUUUCACAAUUGUUGUACUUUUACCUAGAAUUGAGAAUCACAAUUGUUGUACUUUUACCUAGAAUUGAGAAUGACUGAACCUUGUUUCUGAAUAAGUUAAGUGCAUUACAACAUUAAUUGACCAAUCUCAUACUUGAGAAGCAUAAGCCUAAGAAACUCCUGAACUUCUAACUAUAGUUCUCAUUUAUUCUUGAUCUUUGGUGUUUGAACUUUAAAUCCUUGAUUUCAUUUUAUGUUGGUAAUUUUGUUGAAUCAUAUGCUUCUAGUACUUCAUUUAUUGUGAGUGAAUGACAAUUAGUAAUGUUCUUUUGGUUGAAUCAUAAUGUGGUAUGUAUAAGAGUAGAAAUUACAUGAAUAUAUGUGAUUUAUACGUAAGGCUUACGCCUUAUGCGCCUUAUGCCUCAAGGCUGCAAGGCUCUCCCAAAAACGCCUCGGGUACGCCUUCAGCGUUUUAAAACAUUGGUUUUGACCAUGAGUCAAACGACAAAGACCAAAUGGCUUUGGAGAGUCAUAAGCUUAGUUAUGCUUUGUUUCAUGUCUCUCACUGUGACUAUGAAGCGGUGGGAUAAUGGUUUAAUAAUACAAGAAGACUAAAGAAAGACCAUGCCAAAGUGAUGAUCACGUCUUCCAUUAAAGGCCUGGCGGUGGGAAAUUUAUCAUCACACUUCAAGACAAAAUUGCAUAUGCAUAAUUGUCAAACCAUGGUGCUGUUGUGGGGAUUAAAUAGCAAAGUGACGAGGAGCAUGGCCACGGUGAAGCGGUGAUAUGUUCAGAGCCUCAAAUAAAUUCUCUCUCUAAGCCGAACUGGCAGGACUCGCAAAUGGCUUCAAACUGGGUGUAGAUAUAAACUUAUGGGUGUCCAUCCAUAGGUUGCAAGCUGUUGGGCUCAAAUUAAUUUCGGAGCAGUAUGAAGCCCAAUUUUAAAGCCCAUUGCACAACUUCGCGAAAGUUCGGGCCUAAUCAAAUUUUUUGCCGACAAGUGAAGAAGGCGACACAAAGCCCGUUGCAAAAUCCAAGGCCCAUUAUGAAGCUCGGCAUGUUCGGGUGCCCAAUUCAAAUAAGUGGACACUCUACUAAAAUCAAGUGUUCACCAAAACAUGUUUUCUCGACGAGUUCAAAAUACAUACCCGUUGAGUAAAAAUUGGUACAAAACCAAAAAUCCCAAAUAUAAUGAACUACAGUGGUUUGAUCCCUUCACAGGGUAUGUAGGCAGUCUAGCGACCCACUAGAUGCAACUGCAACUCCAAACAGAAUCCCUGACUCCACCAGUCAAAUUCAGCUAGUCCCAAAUGAAUCACUGACUCCAGUCAAAUUCUCCCAACACCACAAAAAUCAAAUCCAUUCCAAAUCACACAAAUUCAAGGGCUUUAAACCCUUCUCCAAACACAAAUUCAAAAUAAAUGGGACAUCUACCCAUUUAAAUCCCAAAAGCCGGAACUACAUGUGGUUUGAUCCCGCAAAGGGUAUGUUGGCAAUCUAGAAACAAACUAAUCUAGAUACAACCGCGUCGUAAACACAAAACCGAAUCCCUGGUCCACCUAAACCAAAUUCGUCCCAAAACACUACUCUAAUUCCAAAAUCAAAGCCUCCAAUGAGUCAUCCACUCAUUGGAACUCUUGAACUACGAGUGGCUUGAUCCCUCUCCAAGAGUACGUAGGCAACCCAUUCAAAUAUCCGGGUGCAGCCGCAAAACAAACAAACACACAUCCCAUCAAUUGGUUUCUUCAUAAAUGGAAUCAAUGGGUGUUUCCCUGUAACAAGGGAUUGUAAUUAAGAGACACAUUCUGUCUUGAAUGGGUUGAACCCAAAAUAAUAAAAACUCUAUUCACUAAAUGAAUACGAGUGAAAUUAUGUUGGGUGACAUUUACGCUCACUGUGUGCAAUAUUUUUCCUCAACACAGAUAUCCUCAUUCGGUACUACUCUAGAGACGCUAAAGAUACAUAGAGUGCACAUCGGUGCUUAGCUUCCUAAAUACAAGGAAUUUAUUGGAAUUAGACAAAAAACUAAAAAUAUAGGGUUGGGCUUAGGGCCAAAAAAACCCCAGCCCAACAUAUCCAGAUCAAAGAAACACCAAACAAAGGCCCACUCAAAAGGCCCAGCAGGCCGGGCCCGGCUCCAGCCCAGCAUCCAUCUCCAGCCCUAAACUCCGCGUGCAGUAUAACUGAUAAAAAAAAUCGUUAAAAGUGAAUCUAAUAAUAAAAUAUUCACUAUCUUUUCUUUUUUACAAAAAUCUUAUAUAAAACUUUAAUUUUUUUAGGCCCAUAUAUAUAUAUAUAUAUAUAUACGGAGCGGUUCCAAAGAGGACGUCCGCACUUUCGUUAAAGUGCGGACGGCGCUGCUGCAACUCGGCUCGGGGCGCGACGGAGCGGCGGAGCUUGCCGGACGGACGCCACGGGUCGGACGGACGAGUCUGCAGUCGGUGUAGUCGCCGGCGACGUGCUUGCAGCCUUGCCCAGAAACCUGCAGUUGCAGGUGAGGUCGCUGCCCAGAAACCUGCAACUCCGACCUCGAAUGCUGCCCAGAACCGUCCGCCAAGCCUCCGGCCUCCGUCCGCCAAGCCCCGAGCCGCCGUCGCCGCCUGGAACGCCGCCGCUGCGUCGUCGUCCGCACUUUAGCAAAGUGCGGACGUCCUCUUUGGAACGGGCCUGUAUAUAUAUAUAUAUAUAUAUAUAUAUAUAUAUAUAUAUAUAUCCUAUCCAGAGUGAGGCCGCGCUCUGAAAUUAAAGUGUGAGGUUGGAGUUUAUGGUCACAUUUCUGUCGCAUAUUCACAUCUCGACCGUUCAGUUUUUAGGUACUAAUGUAUAGAUCAUCUCUGUAAAAUUUCAGCUAAAUUGAUAGUCGUUAAGGCAUUGAUAACUGCAUUGCUCUGGAUAGGAUCUGUAUAUAUAUAGUAUGCACAAAUAAUUUCAUACUCAGCCUAUAAUUCAUCACCCUUCUCCCUACUCAUAUAUAAUACAGAUAUGGGCUCAGCUCAUGGUUAAAGGUAAGUUUCCACGAGGCCUCAUCCCAACACUGAAUCAUCUGGCGGGUAAGAUUUUAUUGCAUGGCUUUGAAAAUUGCUCUUUUUUUUUUUUUUGGUAGUUGCUUAUCCAUAGUGGUUCCUUCUUGGUCGAUUUUUAUAAAGUAUGCACCAAUAAUUUCAGACGCAGCCUAUAAUUCACCCUUCUCCCUACUCUCAUAUAUAAUACAGAUUACUUAUAGGGACUUUAAAUAAUUACAGUCUUGAUUUCAGCUCAUGCCAAACGGUAAGUUCCCACGAGGCCUCAUUUCUUGGGGGCAAGAUUGUAUUGCAUGGCUUCAAAAAUUGCUCCUUUUUUUGCUGGUUGCUUAUCUAUGCAUAGUGGUUCCUUCUUGGUCAUUUUUUAUAAUAGCUACGGCUAUACUUUUAUGCUUUUGAGGUCAUCUAGCUGGAUCAGGUAUGGUUUUAAAUAUCUCAGUUUUUUUGUUUUGUUUUGUUUUGAAUGAAUAUCUCAGUUUUUUUUAUUAGGAAUGAGUUUCAAUAUCUGAACUCCAGAAAAUUUGGACUUGAUGAGGUAGAGUAUUGCACACAUCAGGGAAAAAACAAGCGUUCAUUUAAACAACCUGAUGAUUUAUUUGAAGGAGAAACUAUUUGAGAAUUGGGCGACCUUUGGAGAUUCAUGGACGUUAGACUCGGACAUCAAUGGAGAUGCAUUUGACUAUUUGGACACCAAUGAAUGACCAUGACAAUGAGCUAGAAGGUGGCUUUCCGAUCAAAAUAUAUCUGUCUCAAUGCUUAUGGAGAUAUACAUAUUCGCCAUAAUAACACAAUUCUAUAUCCAGGCUUCCAUUUAUAGGUACAAUAUUGCAAAUUAAAAGGAGGCCGGGAUUUUUAUUAAUUUUAUUGUUUGUUGUUGUACGUCAAAUUACUCCGCGUUGUUGGUUUCUAUUUUGAUGCAUGUGAUGUUACAUAUUGUUGGCUUUA